rnacentral:rRNA from 1 species
UGGUGGAGUGAUUUGUCUGGUUGAUUCCGUUAACGAACGAGACCUCGACUGAAAAGAGUUAGUUCAGCUCCAUGGAUAUAGUAAUAUAUCAAUGGCAUAGCGAAAUUUCUGAAUUGGGACUAUCGGUGUGUAGCCGAUGGAAGUUCGAGGCAAUAACA